rnacentral:misc_RNA from 1 species
GAUGAAGAACGCAGCGAAAUGCGAUACUUGGUGUGAAUUGCAGAGUCCCGUGAACCAUCGAGUCUUUGAACGCAAGUUGCGCCCGAAGCCAUUAGGCCGAGGGCACGCCUGCCUGGGCGUCACACGUCGUUGCCCCCCCAUCUACUCCUUCGGGAUUGCGGGGGGCGGAUGAUGGCCUCCCGUGCGCCUCGUCGCGCGGUUGGCAUAAAUGCCAAGUCCUCGGCGACGCACGCCACGACAAUCGGUGGUUGCGAAACCUCGGUUGCCCGUCGUGUGCGGUCGUCGCGCAUCGAGGGCUCGAAAAAAUUGCCGGGCUCCGGCUCGGCUUUCAACGCGACCCCAGGUCAGGCGGGGUUACCCGCUGAAUUUAAGCAUAUCAAUAAGCGGAGGA